UACAGAGGUGGCAAGCGUUGUUCGGAAUUACUGGGCGUAAAGGGCGCGUAGGCGGCCUUCUAAGUCAGAUGUGAAAUCCCCCGGCUUAACCUGGGAACUGCGUCUGAUACUGGACGGCUUGAGUAUGGGAGAGGGAUGUAGAAUUCCAGGUGUAGCGGUGAAAUGCGUAGAUAUCUGGAGGAAUACCGAUGGCGAAGGCGGCAUCCUGGACCAAUAUUGACGCUGAGGAGCGAAAGCCAGGGGAGCAAACGGG
rnacentral:rRNA from 1 species